UGCAAGUCUAAGUCAGAAAUUAAUAAAGAAUUCUCUCAUUUUCUCUAAUUCUCUUAUGUGCUUUCUUUCUAUUCUUUCUUCCCAUUUCCUUCCAUUUCUUCCCUCCAUUUCCCAAAUUUCUAAGUUCUGGAUUCGAGACCAUGUUCCUAGGGUUUCAAAUUAACAAUUCCCAAACACAAUUACGAAACCAAUAUAUUCAGGUAGCCAACAUCUAUA
rnacentral:misc_RNA from 1 species